rnacentral:rRNA from 1 species
ACUCAAAUGAAUUGACGGGGACUUGCACAAGCAGUGGAUUAUGUGGUUUAAUUCGAUGGUAAACGAAGAACCUCACCAGGGUUUGAAACUAAACUGAAAGCCUGCAGAAACGUAGGCCCUCGCAAGACUGUUUAGCAGGUGAUGCAUGGCCGUCGUCAGCUCGUGGUUUGAACUGUUCCCUUAAGUGGGGUAACGAGCGCAACCCUCGUCGUGUGUUACAAGUGUCACACGAGACUGCCCAGAACUUUGCGCAUAAGCGAAAGAUUUUUUCUUUCCGCUUGUGAAUAAAGUUCUGGGAGGAAGGGGAGGAUGACGCCAGGUCAGCAUGUCCCUCUGAUACCCUGGGCUACACACAUAAUACAAUGGCCACUACAACAGGUUGCAAUGGAGCGAUCCGGAGCUAAUCCUUAGAAAAGUGGCCUCAGUUCGGAUUGAAGUCUGCAACUCGACUUCAUGAAGCUGGAAUUGCUAGUAAUCGCAGGUCAGAUAUACUGCGGUGAAUACGUUCUCAAGUCUUGUACACACCGCCCGU